CACUGCCUGGUGCGUGCUGAGAUUGUCGUCCUGCAGCCUGAGACAGACUAACUGGGAGCGGUCAAGAGGACACACGUUCCCGCACGCCCGGUGAGGCGCGCACCCCCCGACCACUCGCUCUAGACCUGCGCACCGUCCCCGAGCCCAGGGCGUGCUGGGAGUAUGUUGUGCAGCCCUGCAACCGAAGGGCGGAGAGCGUUUUUCAGCAUUACACUACUCCACAUUUCCAAAACUGAAGAAGCUACAGCCUCAGUUCUGUGCAGGGAGGAUGCACAAGAGCAGAAUAUCCAUGGCACAUCUUUCUGGAGCAUCAGUUUUACUGCAAGGUUUGGGAGAAACAAAGUGAUUUCCAAGAGCUGAAACUCUGGUACCCAGUAAACAACAGCUCCUUGUUUUCACCCCUCCAACUUCUGGAAACCCUGCUUCUACUUUGUGUUUCUGUGAAUUUACUUUAAGUAACUCACCUAAGUGGAAUCAUACAAUGUAGCAA